rnacentral:tRNA from 1 species
GGGAGUAGUUCGUAGCCUGGUGGCGCGCUCGGUCUUCAAAACCGAUGGGGGGAGUAUCCCUCCCCUGGUGAGUUCGAUUCUCAUCUACUCCCGCCA